CAUGACCGACUCAAUGGACAUGAGUUUGAGCAAGCUCCUAGGAGACAGUGAUGGACAGGGAAGCCUGGCGUGCUGCAGCCCACGGCAUUGCAAAGAGCCAGGAAGGGGCAACUGAGCAACAGCACCGGUCCAGGCACCAUGAUGGGGCGCGUCUGGGUCCUCCCUAGCCAGCCAGCCCUGCCGGUCCACAGGAAUGCCUGACGUGUUGGGCGUGCGAGGCCCAUGCUGAAUCCUGAACAGUGUAGAUGGGGAGACAGGAUGCCCCAGGACAGAGGUGGCUGCUGUGCCCCACUCCUCUCUCUGGAGAUCCCUCUGAAGGCUCACUGAGCAGUGGGGAGAGGCCUUAGUAGACAGUCUGGGAGCUGAACUGAAUUGACACCCAGUUCUUCAGAUUGCAGGGCUUCCUGAGCAGUUGUUUUCAAGUUUGUCUGAGAAAGUAAUCCUGCUGGGAGCUGAGCAUCGGGAACAUAUGUUCCAUGCAGACGUGGAGUCUCAGAGGGUGCGGGGCUCCCCAAGAGACCGAGGCCAGUGCAGGUUGACAUUUCACUGCCACCGCUUCACAUCCGAUCACUCCACCGUGUUUCCACUCCCUUGCUCAGCUGAACCUUCAACACGAAUAGCGGCCAGUACCAACCAGGCGCUCAGCAAAGCACCAGAUAUUGGGAUAAGCACUUGGCAUCAGUAACCCGCUCCUCACCGCCACCCCGUGACGUGGACAGGGAAGUCACUCACCCAGGCAAGUCUGCACCUGAUGUACACUGGAUAUUCUCUGCAGUUUGUGCUGCUUACCACCAAAAGAGGACAAUAAUUAAGAAAAGAGACACCCAUCUUCUGCUUGGUUGCAUUCUCUCAAUUUUUUCUGGGUUAAAAAAAUCUGAUACAAAACACAUGUUUGUAUAGCUGUAAUUCCACUCUUAAAAAUAGUUGCUUUCUACCACAAUGGACAAACAAUUGAGAAUUCUGACAACUUGUAUGUUACUGAAGAGUUGGCUCUGACGUGUCACUGUCCUUUGUGAUCUGUGCCACUCCUGGCUUCAGCCAGAUCAUACCAUUCCACGCACAAAGCACUGGAGCAAAUAAUUUGAUUCAAGCAAUUGUCUAGUUUUGAAACAUGGUGGUUCUAACAGUUUCACAUGUUUAUUCUAGGGUUUGACUCCCCCAAUCAAUAAUUUCCUGUUGCACGGUAAAAAUCCCCGUUUCUCAUAGUAGGAUGCUGACUCUAGAGCCAGCAAAUGCAUGAGCCCAAGGGGGUGCCGCCCACUGCUUCAGCAGGGAGCAGCCACUCAGCUGCCAAGGAAACUUGCCAGUCUACACUCCUUGAGAAAGUAUCCAUCACCGUCCCACUCGCAUCUGAAUUCCAGACAGAUGUGAGUUCAGAUCUGGUCUAUACAGCAAAGUCUCUCACGCCCUGGAGAGGGGGCGGGUGAGAGCUGGUCUCAGAGACUCAGAAUGAGGACCCAUUUCUCGUGAUGUUGCACUCGGGCACCUGUGCCUUCUCGCGAGCUCUCAGCAGGGCAGCCCCGAGCCAAGUGCUGGGCCCCACCUGGAGAGUUAGUUCCGCUCACCCUGUCCCUGCAGGGGUGUCUCGGUGAUGCGUCAGGAUGGCGAGGAACUGGGAGCCCAGUUGGGAGCAAUCCUGUAUUCCCCAGAGGACCCUGCAGAAGCAAGAGUGCCUGGGUGGGUGUGGGGAGCAGGCGGACUGCACUGGAGAUGGGCUCCUCGGAGGGGAAGAUAACCGAGAGGGUUACGGGCUCCUUGAGCUUUUCCUUUGGAGGCCCAAGUCCCCUAACCUGUGGAAUAAGGGGUAUGAGUGUGAGGGGGGUGGCUGGAGGGGUCUCUUCCAUUCUUUGCUGUGCUUCUUUACAGAGGGGUCUCUUCCCAGGAGCUCCACUGCCUUCCUCAGCACAGGGCAGAACUCUCCCUGCUAAAGCAUGGGUUCCAUACCCCAGUUCCAGAGUCACACCGGGCCCUGCACUGGCUACUGAAAAUCAGAGCUGCACCCAGGAGGGGCGCACAGGAGGGAGCAGGCUGGGCUGUGUAGUAAGGUGAGCCCACCUGCCGGCUCAGGCAGCCUUCUCUGCAACACCAUCAGCAGUAGGACAGGCCACCCUCACGUGUGUUUUCCAUUUUCUCUCAGAAUUCUCUUCCAGAGUGUACACACAGCCAGCUAACCGUGUUAUGAGUCACACCUAGCCACAGCUAGCUGAGAGACGAGCCGAUCACCUUUUCUCUCUGAGCCUGGGUUUCCUAGCUUGGAAGCUGAGAAUGCUAACGCUUGCUUUGGCCCUCAGGCAGCACUGGUAUAAGGCAGACUCCUGUACACAUGAGCUCCAUCACAGUUACUCCAUGUAACCUCCCAGCAAGUUCCCUGGUGGCUCAGUGGAAGAGAGUCCACAUGCAAAGCAGGAGAUGCAGGUUCAAUCCCUGGGUUGGGAAGAUCCCCUGGAGAAGAAAAUGGCAACUUGCUC